GACGAACGCUGGCGGCGUGCUUAACACAUGCAAGUCGAGCGGGUAAGGCCCUUCGGGGUACGACGAGCGGCGAACGGGUGAGUAACACGUGGGUGACCUGCCUCUAGCUCUGGGAUAAGCCUGGGAGACUGGGUCUAAUACCGGAUAUGACUCCACGGCGCAUGUUGUGGGGUGGAAAGCCUUGUGUGGCUAGAGAUGGGCCCGCGGCCUAUCAGCUUGUUGGGGGGU
rnacentral:rRNA from 1 species